UUAAGAAAAUUUUUAUUAAAGAGAGAAAAAGCUAAUUUUAUUAUUCUUACUUUUUAAUUUAAACAAUAAAAAUAUCUUUGGUUGGGGCAACCACGAAGAAAAAAAAACCUUCGAUUUUUACAAAAAAUAAACAAAUUUAAAAGCUAUUUUAAAAGCUCAAAAGAUCCGGACAACUUACCUAAACCGAUCAAAGAAAAAAGUUACCGCAGGGAUAACAGCGUUAUUCUCUUUAAGAGCUCAUAUUGACAAGAGAGUUUGCGACCUCGAUGUUGGACCGGGGCAUCCAAGAGAUGCAGAAGUCUCUAAAGGUAGGUCUGUUCGACCUUUAAAGCCCUACGUGAUCUGAGUUCAGACCGACGUAAGU
rnacentral:rRNA from 1 species